rnacentral:rRNA from 1 species
UACGUAGGGGGCAAGCGUUGUCCGGAAUCAUUGGGCGUAAAGAGCGUGUAGGCGGCUCGGUAAGUCCGCUCUGAAAGCCCGGGGCUCAACCCCGGGAGGCGGGCGGAUACUGUCGGGCUAGAGUCCGGAAGAGGCGAGUGGAAUUCCUGGUGUAGCGGUGAAAUGCGCAGAUAUCAGGAGGAACACCUAUUGCGAAGGCAGCUCGCUGGGACGUUACUGACGCUGAGACGCGAAAGCGUGGGGAGCAAACAGG